UCCCGGGUGACGCAAUUGGUUAGCGUGUCAGACUUUUACAGCUACACAAAUAGCAAAAGUAAAUCUGAAAGUUGCGGGUUCAAGUCCCGCCUCGGGAG
rfam:Fusarium poae strain 2516 chromosome FPOA_1 Chr1, whole genome shotgun sequence.